GGCUGUGGGAGCAGAGCGGCGGGCUGCCCCUAGGUGGCGCUCGGCUGCAGUGGAGGGACGGAGCGGGAAGGGCGAGAGGUGCCGCGGCCCAGUGGAGCCUUUGUCCUGCGGUGCGGCUGCAGGACGCGCCGCCCGCUGUACCCCCUAGCCUGCUAGAAAAGGCUUCUUUCCCAUCGCAGCUGCACGUGCGGGUGUCUUUCUAAGUGCGAAACACCCGGCUUAGGCGGAGUGCUGGCUGCCCUCGGCGAAGUGCUGAGCGUCGUUCGUGGAGCAGUUGGGCCCUGAGGUGCCCCGCCCGCGGCCGCCCGCUCUGCUGCUGCUGCUGCUGCUGCAGCCCCGAGCGCGCACAGCCGCCCCCACAUGGGGCUUUCGUGCAGCUCUGGGGCCGCGCACUCCGGGAGGGAUCGCGGCUGUUCUGUGUGUCUGAUCGCAGACAGCCCGGCAGCACCCGCUGUUCGCCCCGCGGGAGCCGUCUGCAGGUGCAGGGCUGGGUUUCCCUGGCGCACGAGAGGGCUUUGCUCUGAAGCUGGAGGUUCAUUCGGCACCAAGGCGGGAGGAAUAACAAAUAAUGCAAAGCCAGAUGCCGAGCCACCAGCCCUGGGCACUGCUCGGCACUUGCCCUGCUGCCUGCAGCUGCUGGCAGGGAUGCUCCCCUUGGCAAACCGAGGCUGAUGACCAUAAGCAGAGCUGGCUGGAAACCACAACACUUCUGGAGGAGUGAGCUGGGCUCUUGCAAAUGCAUCGAAGCUCUUGCUGGACACCACAGGAACAGGGAAUAUUCCUGAACGCUCUCCUUCCUACUGAUGUUCUGGUAUUUGAUAUUCAGAGAACAGCCGUGGCAAGCAACCGUACGCUGACAGCUGAAACACGGAGUGAAGUACCUAUGGUUGUGUGUGCCAUAAGACAGCCCCUGGACUCAGAAUCACAGAAUCACAGAACGUUUGAGGACCUCUGGAUCCAUCCUCUGCUCAACCAAGGCACCCAGAGCAGUGUGCCCCGGCCCAUGUCCAGCACCUUUCAAAGAUCCCCAAGGAGACUCCACAACCCUGGUCUCCGACCAGCUUGUGCCAGGGCUCCAUCAACUGCAAAGCAGAGUGCUUCUUGAAGUUCAGGCAGAACCUCCCACCGUCCAGUUUGUGCCCGCUACUUCUUGUCCUCGCUCUGGGCACCGCUGACAGGAGCCUGGCUCUGUUCUCUCUGCAUCCUCCCUUCAGGUAAUUAUGGACGCUGAUGAGAUCCUCCCCUGAGCCUUCUCUUCCCCAGGCUGUGCAGCCCCAUCACUCUUUUCUCACAGGAGAGGUGCUCCAGGCCCUUCAUCACCUUGGUGGCCCUUGGUGUUGGACUCUUCCCACUAUGGCCAGGACUCUCUUGCACUGGGCAGCCCAGAACUGGAGUCAGCACUUCCGGCGUGGCCUCAC
ensembl:lncRNA